rnacentral:misc_RNA from 1 species
UCGAUAUUUAUUAUUUGUGAAGGUACCACUAAUUAACAACAAUUUUAUAAUCAAAACAAAAAAAAUCA